UACGGGGGGCAAGCGUUGUUCGGAAUUACUGGGCGUAAGGGCUCGUAGGCGGCCAACUAAGUCGGAUGUGAAUCCCAGGCUCAACCUGGGAACUGCAUCCGAUACUGGAUGGCUUGAAUUCGGGAGAGGGGAUGCAGAAUUCCAGGUGUAGCGGUGAAAUGCGUAGAUAUCUGGAGGAAAUACCGGUGGCGAAAGGGCGGCAUCCUGGGACCCGACAUUGACGCUGACGGGAGCGAAAGCCCAGGGAGCAAAGCAGGG
rnacentral:rRNA from 1 species